rnacentral:lncRNA from 1 species
CUCAGUUUCUCCUUUCUAGAUGUUCUAUUGUUUUCUAGCCUUUAAUAUGUUUGCUUGAGUAUUUGUUGCCCCAAUGCUCUCUACUUGUUGCACCACUUUGUAAUCAGCUGCUUCCUGGUCCCAGUGUCAUUAUUCUUAGGGUUAUAAAUCUGUAAUUUCUCAUCUCUUUCUCCCAGUCUGCUGAUAGGUCCCGGGAAAGUGUCAUAUAGAUGGGAUUCCCCACCCACUGCCCUUUAGCCAAGGAGCUAAAGGCCCAAUACCGUAACCCACUCAGUGGAAAUGGCUAUCCUGGGUUGGUCCAGGUUCAGAUUCAGGACUGACAUAAAAUUUCAGAGAGGUCAAAGGUUUCUCACAAGAUACAUUUAUUUCCUGGUUUCUUUUCCUGGAGUGCUCACUUUUCCAGACGGUUCUGAAGGUGACAGGAUCAGACUGAAGUGCACAAGGGCUGAGAAGAAUUGAAACUAAUUGGGAAGGAGGAGAUGCUAGCCUUCUGGCUCCUGUCUCUUGUACUUCAGCUCCUAGUUUCCCAGUUUGCUUUUGCUAAGACAGGACAACAUGACAGUGGGACCAUCUGGGACUCGGGAGGGUAUGCCUUUGAUCUAAACUUUAAUGCCUCCAAGUUCCAGUGGCAGAAGGCACCCUACAAUCAUACAGAAACUAACAGGAAGGAUGAAAGAACUAAUGAAAACAGAAAAAUGAUGAUUCAACACAAAGAACAAAAUACUACCUUUAAAAGCAUUGACAGCGUUUACCAAGAUCCUGCUAUUGCUGUAACAUCACAAAGUACCAACACUUUCACUGACUCCUCAGCCACCACUCCCACUGUUCUGAGUACCAUGGAGCAUUUCACAAGGGUUAUUGGAGCCCCAAUACCUGCCAAUCUUUCCCAGGAAUCAAGAACAAUGAACUGUGUUUCUGGACCAGCAAAUGUCAAAACUUCCACUGUCUCCUCAACAACCACUUCCAGAGCGGUUACUGGAAUCCCAACAACUUCCACUCCUUCCCAAGAAGCAAAAACAAUGACCCCUUGCUCUCCUGAAACAUCAGAAAGUACCACAUCAUCCCCCCACUCCUCAAUCACCACUCCCACUGUUCGGAGUACCAUGGAGACUUCUACAGGGGUUACUGGAUCCCCACCAACUGCCACCCCUUCCCAAAAAGCAUCAACUACAACCACUUCUCCUGCAACACCAGGAAGUGUCACAACUUCCCCUGACUCCUCAACCACCACUUCCACAGCGGUUACUGGAAUCCCAACAACUUCCACUCCUUCCCAAGAAGCAACAACAACGACCCCUUCCUCUCCUGAAACAUCAGAAAGUACCACAUCAUCCCCCCACUCCUCAAUCACCACUCCCACUGUUCAGAGUACCAUGGAGACUUCCACAGGGGUUACUGGAUCCCCACCAACUGCCACCCCUUCCCAAAAAGCAUCAACUACAACCACUUCUCCUGCAACACCAGGAAGUGUCACAACUUCCCCUGACUCCUCAACCACCACUUCCACAGCGGUUACUGGAAUCCCAACAACUUCCACUCCUUCCCAAGAAGCAACAACAACGACCCCUUCCUCUCCUGAAACAUCAGAAAGUACCACAUCAUCCCCCCACUCCUCAAUCACCACUCCCACUGUUCAGAGUACCAUGGAGACUUCCACAGGGGUUACUGGAUCCCCACCAACUGCCACCCCUUCCCAAAAAGCAUCAACUACAACCACUUCUCCUGCAACACCAGGAAGUGUCACAACUUCCCCUGACUCCUCAACCACCACUUCCACAGCGGUUACUGGAAUCCCAACAACUUCCACUCCUUCCCAAGAAGCAACAACAACGACCCCUUCCUCUCCUGAAACAUCAGAAAGUACCACAUCAUCCCCCCACUCCUCAAUCACCACUCCCACUGUUCAGAGUACCAUGGAGACUUCCACAGGGGUUACUGGAUCCCCACCAACUGCCACCCCUUCCCAAAAAGCAUCAACUACAACCACUUCUCCUGCAACAUCAGAAAGUGUCACAACUUCUCCUGACUCCUCAACAACCACUUCCACAAUGGUUACUGGAUCCCCAACACCUUCCACUCCUUCCCAAGAAGCACCAACAACGAACACGGCUUCUCCUACAACAUCAGAAUCUGUCACAACUUCCCCUGACUCCUCAACCACCACUUCCACAGUGAUUACUGGAUCCCCAACACCUGUCACUCCUUCCCAAGAAGCAACAGCAACGACCCCUGCUUCUCCUGCCACAUCAGAAAGUGUCACAACUUCCCCUGACUCCUCACCCACCACUCCCACUGUUCUGAGUACCACUGACACUUCCACAGUGGUUACUGGAUCCCCAACACCUGCCACUCCUUCCCAAGAAGCAACAGCAACGACCCCUGCUUCUCCUCCAACAUCUGAAAGUGUCACAACUUCCCCCGAGUCCUCACCCACCACUCCCACUGUUCUGAGUACCACGGAGACUUCCACAGUGGUUACUGGAUCCCCAACACCUGUCACCCCUUCUCAAGAAGCAACAACAAUGAACACGGCUUCUCCUACAACAUCAGAAACUGUCACAACUUCCCCUGACUCCUCAACCACCAUUUCCACAGUGAUUACUGGAUCCCCAACACCUGUCACUCCUUCCCAAGAAGCAACAGCAACGACCCCUGCUUCUCCUGCCACAUCAGAAAGUGUCACAACUUCCCCUGACUCCUCACCCACCACUCCCACUGUUCUGAGUACCACUGACACUUCCACAGUGGUUAUUGGAUCCCCAACACCUGCUACCCCUUCCCAAGAAGCAAUAGCAACGACCCCUGCUUCUCCUCCAACAUCUGAAAGUGUCACAACUUCCCCCGAGUCCUCACCCACCACUCCCAGUGUUCUGAGUACCACGGAGACUUCCACAGUGGUUACUGGAUCCCCAACACCUGUCAGCCCUUCCCAAGAAGCAACAGCAAUGACCCCUGCUUCUCCUGCCACAUCAGAAACUGUCACAACUUCCCCUACCACUCCUACUGUUCUGAGUACCACAGAGACUUCCACAGUGAUUACUGGAUCCGCAACACCUGUCACUCCUUCCCAAGAAGCAACAGCAACAACCCCUGCUUCUCCUGCCACAUCAGAAAGUGUCACAACUUCCCCUGACUCCUCACCCACCACUCCCACUGUUCUGAGUACCACUGACACUUCCACAGUGAUUACUGGAUCCCCAACACCAGUCACUCCUUCCCAAGAAGCAACAGCAACGACCCCUGCUUCUCCUCCAACAUCUGAAAGUGUCACAACUUCCCCCGACUCCUCACCCACCACUCCCACUGUUCUGAGUACCACAGAGACUUCCACAGGGGUUAUUGGAUCCCCAACACCUGUCACCCCUUCUCAAGAAGCAACAACAAUGAACACGGCUUCUCCUACAACAUCAGAAACUGUCACAACUUCCCCUGACUCCUCAACCACCAUUUCCACAGUGAUUACUGGAUCCCCAACACCUGUCACUCCUUCCCAAGAAGCAACAGCAACGAUCCCUGCUUCUCCUGCCACAUCAGAAAGUGUCACAACUUCCCCUGACUCCUCACCCACCACUCCCACUGUUCUGAGUACCACAGAGACUUCCACAGGGGUUAUUGUAUCCCCAACACCUGUCACCCCUUCUCCAAGAAGCAACAACAAUGAACAGCUCUCCUACAACAUCAGAAACUGUCACAGACUUCCCCUGACUCCUCAACCACCAUUUCCACAGUGA